UACAGAGGGUGCGAGCGUUGUCCGGAAUUAUUGGGCGUAAAGAGCUCGUAGGCGGUCUGUUGCGUCGGCUGUGAAAACCCGGGGCUCAACUCCGGGCCUGCAGCCGAUACGGGCAGACUAGAGUUCGGCAGGGGAGACUGGAAUUCCUGGUGUAGCGGUGAAAUGCGCAGAUAUCAGGAGGAACACCGGUGGCGAAGGCGGGUCUCUGGGCCGAUACUGACGCUGAGGAGCGAAAGCGUGGGGAGCGAACAGG
rnacentral:rRNA from 1 species